UUAUUCAAAUAUCACAUGGAUAAAUUAGACCUGUAAUCCUGUAAUCAUUCAACUGUUGUGUUUUCGCCAGUUAUAUUAUAUAUGAGCUACGAGCAUACCGUAACGUGCCUAAUAAACUUGUCAAUAAUUACUAACAAAGAGGUCAGACCUGCAUCUAUUUAUGGGUAGCCUCUUGCAUUUUGUUGUCCGAGAAAAAAUUCAAACCUUUAAAUGAUUUUUGAACUUUGAAAUAGAAUAUUUGUGUCAUACCGACAUCAUUCAAUUUAUCCCUCUCUCGUAGAAAUUUUGGAACAAAUCUUCUUUACCAAAGUAACAUUUUUUUUUCGAGUCGACGAUAUUUUCCACACUAUAAUAAUUAUAACGGAUCUGCAAAAAUGAUAUGCCAAUCGCACUAAGUUUCGAAGUUAUA